rnacentral:rRNA from 1 species
AAGCUCGUAGUUGAAUUUCGGGAUCAAUGUUUCGGUCAUGCCGUUGGUAUGUACUGAUAUUAUUGGUUUCUCACCUUCUAAAGAACCGUAAUGCCAUUAAUUUGGUGUCACGGGGAAUUAGGACUGUUACCUUGAAAAAAUUAGAGUGUUUAAAGCAGGCUCACGCUUGAAUACAUUAGCAUGGAAUAAUGAAAUAGGACAUCCGAUUCUAUUUUGUUGGUUUCUAGGAUCGAUGUAAUGAUUAAUAGGGAUAGUUGGGGGCAUUAGUAUUCAAUUGUCAGAGGUGAAAUUCUUGGAUUUAUUGAAGACUAACUACUGCGAAAGCAUUUGCCAAGGAUGUUUUCAUUAAUCAAGAACGAAAGUUAGGGGAUCGAAGACGAUCAGAUACCGUCGUAGUCUUAACCAUAAACUAUGCCGACUAGGGAUCGGAUGAUGUUAAUUUUUUAAUGACUCAUUCGGCGCCUUACGGGAAACCAAAGUGUUUGGGUUCCGGGGGGAGUAUGGUCGCAAGGCUGAAACUUAAAGGAAUUGACGGAAGGGCACCACCAGGCGUGGAGCCUGCGGCUUAAUUUGACUCAACACGGGGAAACUUACCAGGUCCAGACAUAGCAAGGAUUGACAGACUGAGAGCUCUUUCUUGAUUCUAUGGGUG